AUUCCACAAGGAGAAGGUAGGAACACUAAAAGAAACUACAAAACUAAAAGAAAAUAUCAAAGCAGUAAAAUGUGAUGUGAAUGUUUAAAAGUAAAUUGACAAUUAGAUUGUAGUAGUGAAAAGAUGUGACCAGAAUUAAUGGCAGCAAAGCAUGGGAAUUCCUCACUUGAAUCAGGUAAUUCCAUUCAUAUUUGAUCCAUUGGAUAACUCAAUUAGAGAUCAUAGCACUAGAUUCUCUAAUCGGAAGAUAUAGCAUUACAAUCAAAAUAUUUAGUGGUAAUUCUAGAAAAUCAUUCUUCUCUUUUAAAACCAAGGAUU
rnacentral:lncRNA from 1 species